UGGGAACUAAUGACAAUGAAGCAGGGAAUGAUUUUCCUCUGCCAGAUGGAUCUCAGGCUAAAAACCUGCAGGAUUUUUUCUACGGUUGGCAGAUGAAACCAGAUUGUAUUAAACCGCCUGUUGCAACAGAGCACAUUCCUAAAGCGGCCACAAGCCCUUUGAGCUGUGACCUUCUGUUUUCCUCUCCCGAUUCUCCGCUGAGUUCCUGUUUUAGGGUGGUGGAUCCUGGUCAGUUCUUGUCAGUGUGUGAGUUGAGCUCCUCCAGAGCACCCUGCAGAUUAGCAUCUGCUUUUGUUCAUCUCUGC